UCCCUGGAAGUCCAGGGGUUAGGACUCUGCACUUUCACUGCCAAGAGCGCAGGUUCAAUCCCUGGUCAGGGAA
rfam:Ovis aries breed Texel chromosome 13, whole genome shotgun sequence.